GGCGCUAUAGUGUAGUGGUUAUCACUUGGGAUUCUGAUCACUGCUAAGCGCUUGUUCCCACGACCCAGGUUCGAUCCCUGGUAGCGCCU